rnacentral:rRNA from 1 species
CCUACGGGUGGCAGCAGUGGGGAAUAUUGCACAAUGGGGGAAACCCUGAUGCAGCGACGCCGCGUGAGUGAAGAAGUAUUUCGGUAUGUAAAGCUCUAUCAGCAGGGAAGAAGAAAGACGGUACCUGACUAAGAAGCCCGGGCUACCUAGGUGCAAGCAGCGGGGGUAAUACGUAGGGGGCAAGCGUUAUCCGGAUUGACUGGUGGUAAAGGGAGCGUGGACGGCGGUGCAAGUCUGAAGUGAAAGCCCAGGGCUCAACCCUGGGACUGCUUUGGAAACUGUGGAGCUAGAGUGCUGGAGAGGUAAGUGGCAUUCCUAGUGUAGCGGUGAAAUGCGUAGAUAUUAGGAGGAACACCAGUGGCGAAGGCGGCUUACUGGACAGUAACUGACGUUGAGGCUCGAAAGCGUGGGGAGCAAACAGGAUUAGAUACCCGUGUAGUC